GAAAUAAAAGUUCUUUCAAAAGAAGUUAUAGAAAUUAAGUUUCAGGCUACUGGGGUGAAGUUGCUAGAAUCAGUGGAUGAAGUGGUUACACUGCAUAAUAAACUAAAAGAUAAAACCGAGUAUACUAAUUUGCUUGAUAGUUUGAAAAAGAUUGGUGGCGGAAAGUUUGAAAAAGGAUUGGUGGCCAAGAGAACAUGUUUUUUUGAUCAUAAAAAGGUUAUUUUCGAAUCAGUUACAGUCCAAAUUAAAUCAAAAAGGAAAUGGGGAAAAAAUGAACUUAGAAAAUCUAGU
rnacentral:lncRNA from 1 species